rnacentral:rRNA from 1 species
AGAGAUGGUGAUUGUUUUGCACUGGAUCCCAUCAAAACUCCGCAGUUAAGCGUCUUAGGUGAGAGUAGUACUAGGAUGGGUGACCUUCUGGGAAGUCCUCGUGUUGCAUCUC